GAUUUAAUCAGCCUUUGGAAACAUCCGAUAAAAUUGGAACAAUAGGGAGAAGAUUAGCAUGGACAAGGAUGACACACAAAUCAAGAAAAGGUCCAAAUUUCU